rnacentral:rRNA from 1 species
AUUGAACGCUGGUGGCAGGCCUAACACAUGCAAGUCGAACGAGUGGCGGACGGGCGAGUAAUGCUUGGGCAUCUAGCUUAUGGAGGUGGAUAACUAAGGGAAACUGUAGCUAAUACCGCGUACCAUACGAUGAGCCCAAGUGGGAUUAGGUAGUUGGUGAGGUAAAGGCUUACCAAGCCGACGAUCCCUAGAUGGUCUGUGAGGAUGACCAGCCAAACUGGGACUGAGAAACGGCCCAGACUCCUACGGAAGGCAGCAGUGGGGAAUAUUGCGCAAUGGGGGCAACCUGACGCAGCCAUGCCGCGUGAAUGAAGAAGGCCUUCGGGUUGUAAAGUUCUUUCGGUAGCGAGGCGUUAACUACAGAAGAAGCACCGGCUAACUCCGUGCCAGCCGCCGCGGUAAUUC